GGGUACGGCAUGACGGAGGCCGGGCCGGUGCUGUCCAUGUGCCUGGCGUUCGCCAAGGAGCCGUUCAGGGUGAAGUCGGGCGCGUGCGGGACGGUGGUGCGCAACGCCGAGCUGAAGAUCGUGGACCCGGACACCGGCAGGUCCCUCGCCCGCAACCUGCCCGGGGAGAUCUGCAUCAGGGGCCAGCAGAUCAUGAAAGGUUACCUGAACAACCCGGAGGCGACGAGGAACAGCAUCGACGCCGGCGGGUGGCUGCACACGGGCGACGUCGGCUUCGUGGACGACGACGACGAGAUCUUCAUCGUCGACAGGCUCAAGGAGAUCAUCAAGUACAAGGGCCUCCAGGUGGCCCCCGCCGAGCUGGAGGCGCUGCUCAUCACCCACCCAGGCAUCGCCGACGCCGCCGUCGUCGGGAAACAAGUGGAGCCGGAGAUCGGGGAGAUCCCGGUGGCCUUCGUAGCCAGGGCCAAAGGGAGGAGCGACGACGGGCUCACCGAGGACGACGUGAAGCAGUUUGUGGCCAAGGAGGUGGUCUACUACAAGAAGGUCCGCGAGGUGGUCUUCGUCGACAGGAUCCCCAAGGCCCCGUCGGGCAAGAUACUGCGCAAGGAGCUCAGGAAGCGGCUUCAGCAGCACCAGCACCAGCAAGCCGUGUGAUGUACAUCAUAUUUGGGGUGACGUACUGUGCUCCGUGUUUUUGGUCUAGUUUGGCGGUGGGUGAUGGUGAUUAAUUGUCUACCUCAUAAUGUUCAUUUUGUUUUCAGACGUAAUUUCCAUCAGUGUGCGCAUUAAAAAUCUAAUGCAUUUUCAUUCUGUUCU